CUUGAAUAUUAUUAUAGAUAGAGAUAAACUGUAAACAGCAAUAAUGUUCAGCAAAGUAAGAUCUACAAAUAAGUCAACAUGACCAAAAUGGUCAGUUGACCACUUUAGGAGUUAUUGCCCUUUAUAGUCAAUUUUUAACAAUUUUUCGUAAAUCUUAGUAAUCUUUUAGAAAAAUCUUCUCCUCUGAAACUACUGGGCCAAAUUUAACCAAACUUGGCCAUAAUCAUCAUUGGGGUAUCUAGUUUAAAAAAUGUGUCCGGUGCCCCGCACAACCAACCAAGAUGGCGGCCAUGGCUAAAAAUAGAACAUAGGGGUAAUAAUGCAGUUUUUGGCUUAUAACUCAAAAACCAAAGCAUUUAGAGCAAAUCUGACAUGGGGUAAUAUUGUUCAUCAGGUUAAGAUCUAUCUGCCCUGAAAUUUUC
rnacentral:lncRNA from 1 species